GCAAUGUGCAAGAUAUAUAUAUUUUCUGUUAUUGUUGGUGGUUCAAAAAGUAUUUUGUGUAAGUUCAUGGUGUUUGUCCUAUUGUGAAUUGUGAUUAUCGGUACUGCGAUAAAUUCAGAAUAGUGUAGUAAAUACCGUUUUGUCAAGAAAACAGUACUAAACCUACAUAACCUCACUUCUACAUGCAAUGCAGAAAAUGCAAUUUCUCAACACAGACAAAAUGAUGAAUGUCCGGGCGCAACCAAAAAAAAAAGAUUGCGGGAGAUACGUAGAAAUUGGAUGAAUUGUUUCAGACUGAUAAUAAUGUUUAUUUGUCAGGAAGAGAAGACGUAAAAAAACAUGUACGCAAUUUUGAAGAAAUUAUUAAUAAUGAACCAAAUUGUUUUCAAGUUUUCAGGGCAAGGAAAAAAAUAAGCUCUCUUUUAGUGAACUCACAAUUAACAAGGCUACAAUAUGUACCACACGGAAACGUCACAAAAAUGCCACAACUACUGAAAUUUAAAAAAUGGUAGGACCGCAUUAAGCGCAGACAAAAGCAAGAAUGAAUUCUCAUCGAAAAAACAUGAGGUAUGAUUUUUUUUAUUUUAAUUAAUUAUAUCGCUUUUCAAUGAAUUGGUUAUAGAGCAAAUAAUUAUUAAAUAAAUAUUUCUGUAUAACGAUUGAAAUGUAGCAGAACAUUGUUAAUUCCAUUGCCAAUGUAUUUUUAUGUUUAAAAAAUUUAUAUUGUGUUUCACAUCAGGUGAUUUUUUUAAAUUUAUGCUCUGGUUGCCCAUGAAGCUUAUGUCAGCAGUUUCAGUUUCACUGCUGACAUAAGUGUCAUGAGUAACUACAGCAGAAAUUAAAAAAAAAAUCACCUGGUACAAAUUUUCAGCGAAUUGGUUCUAGGACAAAUAAUUUUUAAAUGUAUAAAUAUUGCCGCAACGUUUCAAAUACACUGUUAUUUCCAGUGACAAUGUAUUUUUGUGUUUAAUAAAUUUUAUAUUGU